rnacentral:rRNA from 1 species
AUUGAACGCUGGCGGCAUGCUUUACACAUGCAAGUCGAACGGUAACAGCACUUCGGUGGCUGACGAGUGGCGAACGGGUGAGUAAUACAUCGGAACGUGCCUAGUAGUGGGGGAUAACUACUCGAAAGAGUAGCUAAUACCGCAUGAGAUCUAAGGAUGAAAGCAGGGGACCUUCGGGCCUUGCGCUACUAGAGCGGCUGAUGGCAGAUUAGGUAGUUGGUGGGAUAAAAGCUUACCAAGCCGACGAUCUGUAGCUGGUCUGAGAGGACGACCAGCCACACUGGGACUGAGACACGGCCCAGACUCCUACGGGAGGCAGCAGUGGGGAAUUUUGGACAAUGGGCGCAAGCCUGAUCCAGCAAUGCCGCGUGCAGGAUGAAGGCCUUCGGGUUGUAAACUGCUUUUGUACGGAACGAAAAGCCCUCUUCUAAUACAGGAGGGUCAUGACGGUACUGUAAGAAUAAGCACCGGCUAACUACGUG